UACGGAAGGCAGCAGUGGGGAAUAUUGCACAAUGGGCGAAAGCCUGAUGCAGCUAUGCCGCGUGUAUGAAGAAGGCCUUAGGGUUGUAAAGUACUUUCAUCGGGGAGGAAAAAAACAAAACUAAUAAUUUUAUUUCUUGACGUUACCCGAAAAAGAAGCACCGGCUAACUCCGUGCCAGCAGCCGCGGUAAUACGGAGGGUGCUAGCGUUAAUCAGAAUUACUGGGCGUAAAGAGCACGUAGGUGGUUUUUUUAAGUCAGAUGUGAAAUCCCUGGGCUUAACCUAGGAACUGCAUUUUGAAACUGAAAUACUAGAGUAUCGUAGAGGGAGGUAGAAUUCUAGGUGUAGCGGUGAAAUGCGUAGAUAUCUGGAGGAAUACCUGUGGCGAAAGCGGCCUCCUAAACGAAUACUGACACUGAGGGUGCGAAAGCGUGGGGAGCAAAACAGGGAUUAGAUACC
rnacentral:rRNA from 1 species